rnacentral:rRNA from 1 species
GAUGAACGCUGGCGGCGUGCCUAAUACAUGCAAGUCGAGCGAACAGACGAGGAGCUUGCUCCUUUGACGUUAGCGGCGGACGGGUGAGUAACACGUAGGUAACCUACCUAUAAGACUGGGAUAACUUCGGGAAACCGGAGCUAAUACCGGAUAAUAUUUCGAACCGCAUGGUUCGAUAGUGAAAGAUGGCUUUGCUAUCACUUAUAGAUGGACCUGCGCCGUAUUAGUUAGUUGGUAAGGUAACGGCUUACCAAGGCAACGAUACGUAGCCGACCUGAGAGGGUGAUCGGCCACACUGGAACUGAGACACGGUCCAGACUCCUACGGGAGGCAGCAGUAGGGAAUCUUCCGCAAUGGGCGAAAGCCUGACGGAGCAACGCCGCGUGAGUGAUGAAGGUCUUCGGAUCGUAAAACUCUGUUAUUAGGGAAGAACAAACGUGUAAGUAACUGUGCACGUCUUGACGGUACCUAAUCAGAAAGCCACGGCUAACUACGUG